rnacentral:misc_RNA from 1 species
CGCAUCUUGCGCUCCCCGGUUAUUCCGAGGAGCAUGUCUGUUUGAGUGUCGUGUACCCUCUCAAUCCCCUCUCUUCUGUUCAGAACAGGAGGGAAGGGGAUUGGAUCGUGAUCGAUGCCGCCCGCGAGGGCAGCCCGAUCGAAAUCGAGACAAGUGGGAGAGUCAUUUCAAAAGUUGGCUGCCCCGACGUUGUAACCAUCCUCGUCAGGUCAGAACGCCAGAAUUGAAGUGAUGAAACCGCUUUGAAAUACACGCACAAUCAAAGGAAUGACCUCAAAUCAGGCAGGACUACCCGCUGAACUUAA